rnacentral:rRNA from 1 species
AUUGAACGCUGGCGGCAGGCCUAACACAUGCAAGUCGAGCGGAUGAGUGGAGCUUGCUCCAUGAUUCAGCGGCGGACGGGUGAGUAAUGCCUAGGAAUCUGCCUGGUAGUGGGGGACAACGUUUCGAAAGGAACGCUAAUACCGCAUACGUCCUACGGGAGAAAGUGGGGGAUCUUCGGACCUCACGCUAUCAGAUGAGCCUAGGUCGGAUUAGCUAGUUGGUGAGGUAAAGGCUCACCAAGGCGACGAUCCGUAACUGGUCUGAGAGGAUGAUCAGUCACACUGGAACUGAGACAUGGUCCAGACUCCUACGGGAGGCAGCAGUGGGGAAUAUUAGACAAUGGGCGAAAGCCUGAUCCAGCCAUGCCGCGUGCGUGAAGAAGGUCUUCGGAUUGUAAAGCACUUUAAGUUGGGAGGAAGGGCAGUAAGUUAAUACCUUGCUGUUUUGACGUUACCAACAGAAUAAGCACCGGCUAACUUCGUGCCAGCAGCCGCCGUAAUAC